AAUGGGGGCAACCCUGAUGCAGCGACGCCGCGUGAGCGAUGAAGCCCUUCGGGGUGUAAAGCUCUUUCGGCAGGAACGAUAAUGACGGUACCUGCAGAAGAAGCUGCGGCUAACUACGUGCCAGCAGCCGCGGUAAUACGUAGGCAGCAAGCGUUGUUCGGAACUACUGGGCGUAAAGAGUGUGUAGGAGGUGUCGUAAGUUUGGGUGAAAUCUCCCGGCUAAACGGGGAGGGUGCCCCGAAGACUGCGAUGCUCGAGUGUGGGGGAGGAAAGCGGAAUUCCUGGUGUAGCGGUGAAAUGCGUAGAUAUCAGGAGGAACACCUGCGGUGUAGACGGCUUUCUGGACCUUUACUGACACUGAGACACGAAAGCGUGGGUAGCAAA
rnacentral:rRNA from 1 species